CUCUGAAGGAAUAUGUAACCCAUCUUUAUCAAUUCAAUAACCCAAAAAAGUAACACUAUCCUUAAAAAAAUUACACUUCUUCUUAACUGACAAAUCAGCAAUAUUCAAUUUUUCCAAAACUAACAAUAAUCUAUCAUCCACUUCAUUUUUGUUUUUUACCACAGUAAUCAUAAAAAUAACCUGUCCCGGGUAUACCAUUUAAUAGCUUAUCCAAUUUCUAUUGAAGUAAACCAAGUCCUGUUGCUACUCUAUAAGGCAAUCUUUUAAACAUAUACAAACCCUUACAAGUAGUGAUUGUUGUUAACUUGACUUUCCUUACUAAGUAAUAGUUUCUGAUACAUCUGACAUAAAUCAAGAGUACAAAACAAAGUUGCAC